AGUGUUUUGGUGAUUUUGGCGGAUUUAAACGCCAUUACCUGCUCCUGCUUCACUGAUAUAAAAACACUUUUAUUUCACUAAUAAACAUGGUGCUAUUCAUUCGAACUUCCAUCGCAAUGUGAGAACUAAGAAGAAACUCCAUCGCAGCAUGAGAUCUGCGAUUUCAUCCACAACGCUCUCCUCUGGCGGCAAUGUCGUUGUUGCUACCUUCGAAGGAGCGCUCUUCUUUGAUUAGGUUUAUUGGCUUCGAUUUGAGGGUUCGUUGCGCCGUCGCUCAUCUCCUCCUCACCACAAGUAACGCCAUCAUUGCUGUCCUCGGUAUAAUCUGAGAUCGCACAUCGGAGGGAGAAGGAAAGGAGAACGAGAGUGAGUUCAUCUGAAACCCUAAAUCUUGUCGCCGCUAUAGUCACCACCAUUCAUCUCAUGUAUGCCGCUUCCAUCAACCUUCUGCGUUCGAGUGAAGGCGCCUCCUCUAUCGACGCGUUUCCAAAUCUUGUCACUACGCUAUAGCUUAUGAGACUAAGCAAAGCACCUCUUCCAUUAAUGUGUCUCCUCCGCUAGCGGCGCCGAAACUAUCAAAGCUUCUACUGUGGUCCGAGCGAUCGCCAUUAUCAACCUCAGUGCUGUCCAAGGAGGGUAGAAUCUGCUAUCCAAGUUGGUGCUACAACAAGAACAAGUCAGAGGCUAGAGUGUUAGUUCAACAUGUAGCAAUUGUCUAGUCUCCAUGUUGAGAAUAGACUCAAGGAAGAGGUAUAGAGCAUCUGCUGAAAUUUGACAUGUUUCUGUUGUUAGAUUUAGUCAUAGUUUGUACACAUAAUAGAAGUAUAAAUAGUUUUGUUCCUCUAUGCUAUUUGUUGAAAUAUUUUUAGUAUUUAGGGAACCAAAUUUUAUAUGCCAGAUUUUGUGCUUAUGAUAGGCUUAAAUAUUUGUUUAGAAAUCAACCUUAACUUGACUAGCUAACAAUUGUGCUUUCUAAGUUAUAAAUCCACAACUACUUUAUUCUUAUAAAUUGUAAUUGGAGAAUAAUAUAUUCGCUUUACUUAUAAAUUCUGUGGUUUGCUUUCAUUAUCUUUACCU